GGAUGGAGGUCGACAUAUAUAGGAGUCUCCCUAACAUCAAGUAAUAAUGCUAUUCCUUUACCCUGCUUGGUCAUAGCACGGUAGUGGGAGCUGCCAGCUUCACAUGUUUUAACUCUGUCAGAGCACUUUGAAAAAGUGGUCUGUGGUAUCUGGAAAGCUGAUGUUGCGUGUGAAGAUUACAGACAAGCUUUAUCCAAGGAGAUCCAGCUCUUGAAGUUGGGAAAGUGGUGCCUUUUCGGUUUUCGAACAAGCAAUCCUGUCGGGGAUCUGGCUCUCGAGAUUCGGAGAACGAUGCCUCUUCGAUUUUUGAGAAAGCAAUCCUGCUGGUCUACCUUACCACGAAGCACAGAGGUUGACACACAGGGACUUUCCAAUUAUCCAGCAGUGGUACUGUUCCUUUACCCUCUCUUCGAUUUUUGAGAAAGUAAUCAUGUUGGGAGUCUGGCUCUCGAGAUUCGGAGGGCGGUGCCUCUUCGAUUUUGGAGCAAGCAAUCUUGUUGGGAGUGUUUUCUCGAAUGUGAGUAAAGGUUGGGCAUGUUUGCUAGUCUACCUUGCCACGAAGCACAGAGGUUGACACACAGGGACUUUCCAAUUAUCCAGCAGUGGUACUGUUCCUUUACCCUCUCUUCGAUUUUUGAGAAAGUAAUCAUGUUGGGAGUCUGGCUCUCGAGAUUCGGAGGGCGGU
rnacentral:lncRNA from 1 species